AGAGUUUGAUUAUGGCUCAGGAUGAACGCUAGCUACAGGCUUAACACAUGCAAGUCGAGGGGCAGCGGGAAGAAAGCUGCUUCUUGCCGGCGACCGGCGCACGGGUGAGUAACGCGUAUCCAACCUGGCCCUUAGUAGGGGAUAGCCCGGCGAAAGUCGGAUUAAUACCCUAUGUUCUUCGUAGAAGACAUCUGAAAUGAAGCAAAGAUUUAUCGCUAAGGGAUGGGGAUGCGUCUGAUUAGGUAGUCGGCGGGGUAACGGCCCACCGAGCCAUCGAUCAGUAGGGGUUCUGAGAGGAAGGUCCCCCACAUUGGUACUGAGACACGGACCAAACUCCUACGGGAGGCAGCAGUGAGGAAUAUUGGUCAAUGGGCGCGAGCCUGAACCAGACCCAAGUAGCGUGAGGGAAGACUGCCCUAUGGGUUGUAAACCUUCUUUUGGCCGGGGAAUAAAGUGACGUACGUGUACGUUUUUGUAUGUACCCGGAGAAUAAGGACCGGCUAAUUCCGUGCCAGCAGCAGC
rnacentral:rRNA from 1 species